rnacentral:misc_RNA from 1 species
UUUCUUUGGUGCUGUUAGGUUACUACUAAAGAGACUUGUGACUGAAACAGUCAUGAUUUGGAACACCUUACUUGUUAAAAAAUUCAACCCUGUACUCCAUCUCCUUCUCAGCCAUGCCAAAAAUCUGCUCUGCGUCCACUUCUCUUGGUAAAUUAUUAGCAGCCAUCAUUACAGAGCGAUAAAAAAUGAUCUUGUGCUUUUUUUCGUAUUUGAGAGAGGGGGAGAUGAA